GAAGCGCGCUGAUCGUGCUGUUCCGGGGGUGUUAAUCACAGUGGAUCCCCUGGGAGAGGACACGUCCCUAGUCCCAUUUCACAGAUGAGGAAGUUGUGGCUCAGAAAAGGGGCGGAAACUAAAGUUCGGAAAGGUAGAGCGACUUGCCCAAGGUCGCGGGACUAGAAGGUGGCGGGGCCAGGAUUCGAACCAUCGAGCUGAGCCGACGUACUGGCGAGGAUCCCCCAGGGGCAUAGAGAGGAGACGGAGCCGGUUA
rnacentral:lncRNA from 1 species